UUAUCUUCAGAUCUUUCUACUUGGGCUUUCCAGACUUUGCAGAGAAGAUCCUUCCAACCUACUGUCUAGAGGGCAGAGGCAAGGCUGCAAGCAUUCCGGAAGUCCAACAGGGGAGGGAGAGUGGAGGAAGGAGGCGUCUCAACAUCUGGAACCAUAUUUCCAUCAGAUGUGUUUCUCAAGCACUCUGCCACUCCUUUCUACCUCUCCUGCGUUUGAUCUGAGGACGGCCCGUUCCACAGGAACACAAAGGCACAGAAGAUGAAGUAACUUGCCCACGGCCACACGGUUGACACCAUGAAGGCUGAACAAAGGAUAUCUGGGGGCAAAAUCUGACCCAUGGGCUGCCCAUUGCCACCUCUGGGCAGCCCUCCUUGAUGGUGUGGAGUCCGCGGUCCGCAUUGGUUAACUUAACUGUGCUUCCUCAGAUCCAGUCUGGAAUUAAUUAUUGAAUUGUAUGCAUUUUCAAUGCCAUCCUCAAGCUAACAGCCAACUAUGCGGGGGAAUAAAACGGAGCAGAGAACCGAGUUGGGUUCCAGAGACCCCAGAUUGUCUUCAUUUGCAGUUGCCAGGUUCCCUGCAGCCCGGGUCUGUGGAUUUCCCGCGGCUCAGCGCCCGCAGCUCAGGCUCCGUGGAGCCCGGCGGCAUGGACGAGGCGUCGCGCGCGCCCUCUAGUGGAGAAAAAGGGUCACUGCCGAACGCCAGCUGCGGACCGUCGAGAGUUCCUUGGGCCAUGGCUCCUGCCGGGAGCAGCAGCCCUGGGGCCGGGAUCCAGGAUGCAGAGGCGAGAAAAUGAACUGCCCGGCCACCACGAAGACAACCCACCCCUUGCCAGUCACCCCUCAAACUACUGACAAUGUCAACAACAAUAAUUAUAACAAUCAUAUUAAUAAGUAGAAUGACAAAUAUAAUAAUAUUUAACAGUUUGUGAUUUUCAGCCCACAAGGUUUCGCCUACUGUGUAGAUUACUCGGGACUCUGCAGGCCAGUAGGCCAUGUAUAGAUGGACAGAAAGAGGUUUGUUAUCAGAAAUGGGCUCACAUGACUGAGGAUACUGUGAAGUCCCACGACCUGCUGUUUGCAAGUAGGGGAUCAGGGAAGCCAGUGGAGUAGGUCAGUCCAAGCCCAAAGGCCGAGAACCAGAGGAGCCGACGGCCCAGCUCAAGCAGAAAGAGUGGCACUCACCCUUCCUCUGCCUUUUGUUCUCUUCAGGCCCUCAGCAGAUUGCAGGACGCCCCGACACAAGGAAGGGCGAUCUUGACUCAGUCAGUCCACGGAUGCACGCUAACCCCUUCCAGAAACACCCUCACAGACACACCUAGAAAUAAUGUGGGGUUUUUGGUGUUUUACUUUUAAUUGCAUUUAUUUUAAUGCCGGAUGUAUUUCCGCGUUGCCAGCUCCUGAGCAUCUCUGAGCCCAAUCAAGUUGACACAUACAAUUAACCAUCACGCUGUGUCAGUUCAAUCAUUAAAAAUACGCAACACUCAGCCGGGCGCGGUGACUCACGACUGUAAUCCCAGCACUUUGGGAGGCUGA
rnacentral:lncRNA from 1 species